rnacentral:tRNA from 1 species
UGCCAGGUGGGCGACGGUGACCCACCCUCGGUUCUGACCCGAGGUCCCGCAGGUUCGAGUCCUGCCCUGGCAG